rnacentral:rRNA from 1 species
UACGAAGGGAGCUAGCGUUGUUCGGAAUCACUGGGCUUAAAGGGCGCGUAGGCGGGCGGCCGCGUCCGGGGUGAAAUCCCACGGCUCAACCGUGGAACGGCCUCGGAUACGGGCGGCCUCGAGGGGGGUAGGGGCAUCUGGAACUGUGAGUGGAGCGGUGAAAUGCGUUGAUAUUCACAGGAACUCCGGUGGCGAAGGCGAGGUGCUGGACCCCAUCUGACGCUGAGGCGCGAAAGCCAGGGGAGCGAACGGG